GCCUGGCUGGCUCAGCUGGUAGAGCAUGAGACUUUUGAUCUCAAGGUUAUGAGUUUGAGUCCCAUGUUUGGUA